CGGGAGGCUGCAGCAACCGGGAAUCUUGCGCAAUGGGCGAAAGCCUGACGCAGCGACACCGCGUGGAGGAUGAAGGCCUUUGGGUUGUAAACUUCUAAACUCUGCCAAUAUCGGCAGAGGAUAAGCACCUGCAAACUACGUGCCAGCAGCCGCGGUAAAACGUAGGGUGCGAGCGUUAUCCGGAUUUAUUGGGCGUAAAGAGUUUCGUAGGCGGUUAAGUAAGUAGUCAGUUAAAACCUUCGGCUCAACUGAAGAAAUGCUGACUAAACUGCUUAACUUGAGGUCGUUAGGGGGUGCUGGAAUUCCUGGUGUAGGGGUGGAAUCCAUUGAUAUCAGGAAGAACACCGAGGGCGAAGGCAAGCACCUGGGGCGACCCUGACGCUGAUGAACGAAAGCUAGGGGAGCAAAAGGGAUUAGAUACCCCGGUAGUC
rnacentral:rRNA from 1 species